CGUGUAGGCGGUUUGACAAGUCGAGUGUGAAAUCCCACGGCUCAACCGUGGAACUGCGCUCGAAACUGCCUUACUUGAGUGCGGGAGAGGUGUGCGGAAUUCCUGGUGUAGCGGUGGAAUGCGUAGAUAUCAGGAAGAACACCGGUGGCGAAGGCGGCACACUGGCCCAGCACUGACGCUGAGGCGCGAAAGCGUGGGGAGCGAACG
rnacentral:rRNA from 1 species